rnacentral:piRNA from 1 species
UGCAACAACGGACACCACAGUGGAUGCUGU